CUUCUAUGCUCGCUUCGAAGCAAAUAACACUGAAACAUACAUGAGAGCACCAGCUGUACCGGAAGACUGUGUGAUCACGCUCUCUGCAGCCGAUCUCCCAUUCUCCCCAGUCCGAGAAAACACAGAGAGAAAGAUGGUGCAUUGGAGACUGAUGUGUUCCUGUCCUGUCUUUCCACAAUACUAUUGCAGAUCAACAUAAAAGCCGUAAAGACAGCUGUGGUGUCGCUCUUCAUUUCUUGGUUCUCCUGUGGUGCAUAUAAGACCCGCUACAUUUAGGCAGGUCAACAUUCACAAGGCCUCAGGGCCAGACGGAUUACCAGAACGUGUACUGCGAGCAUGCGCUGACCAACUAGCAAGUAUCUUCACUGACAUUUUCAACCUCUCCCUGUCUGAGUCUGUAAUACCAACAUGUUUUAAGCAGACCACCAUAGUCCCUGUGCACAAGAACACUAAGGUAACCUGCCUAAAUGACUACCGACCCGUAGCACUCACGUCUGUAGCCAGGAAGUGCAUUGAAAGGCUGGUCAUGGCUCAUAUUAACACCAUCAUCCCA
rnacentral:lncRNA from 1 species